rnacentral:rRNA from 1 species
CCUACGGGGGGCUGCAGUGGGGAAUAUUGGACAAUGGGGGCAACCCUGAUCCAGCCAUGCCGCGUGUGUGAAGAAGGCCCUCGGGUUGUAAAGCACUUUCAGUGAGGAAGAACGCCUGGUGGUUAAUACCCAUCAGGAAAGACAUCACUCACAGAAGAAGCACCGGCUAACUCCGUGCCAGCAGCCGCGGUAAUACGGACGGUGCGAGCGUUAAUCGGAAUUACUGGGCGUAAAGCGCGCGUAGGUGGCUUGAUAAGCCGGUUGUGAAAGCCCCGGGCUCAACCUGGGAACGGCAUCCGGAACUGUCAAGCUAGAGUGCAGGAGAGGAAGGUAGAAUUCCCGGUGUAGCGGUGAAAUGCGUAGAGAUCGGGAGGAAUACCAGUGGCGAAGGCGGCCUUCUGGACUGACACUGACACUGAGGUGCGAAAGCGUGGGUAGCAAACAGGAUUAGAUACCCUGGUAGUC